rnacentral:tRNA from 1 species
GACCGCGUAGCUCAGUUGGCAGAGCAUUGGGUUAGUAUUCCAAAGGUCGUAGGUUCGAUUCCCACCGUGGUCA